UCAUAAUUAUAUCUAUGUACAUGUACAUAUGCAAAAGUUGGACUAACAAACUAUUGUCUCUUGAACUAUCAUGAUUCUAUUUCUAACUGCUCUGCUCAUCAGUGGCUAUUGAUGCUCUCACUUGUAAUCAAACUGUUCUUCCUACACUGUAUCGAGGUAUGUGGUUAGAUGGUGAUCCAACUACAUACAACGAUGUUCUGAUCACUUAUCCAUCAAAUUAUACACAGAGAAACUUUCUUCUUAGACUCACUGUCUGUGAUUACAGUGUUGUACUGGGUGACGGAGCAAUCAUUCCAUCUCCUCCUGAUCUCAAUAGUUUAAGUUAUUUCAGACACUUCAUUACUUGGAACAGAGACUCAUUGAAUAGUUUUCUUGACUUUGACCUCACUACAGCAACGGCUGGGAUUACUGCUAUAGAAUUCAGUUUCUUGAACACUCCUGCCAACAGAAUCAGUUUGCCAGAACCUAGACUAUCUGUUAUUGAAUAUUCCCCAGGCCUGACAGAUCGAAAUGAAACAAAUAUUACAACCUGGAUACUUAACAAUCAAGAUCUGACUCAGACAGACAACCAAAUCAGAACUAUUAGCAUUCGGCCAUUUCCACCACUUAGUGCUGCGAACCUCAGAAUUAGGUUUCAGUUUACAGUAUUUCAUGAUUUUGAUUGGGUCUUUCUGAGUGAAAUACAAUUUUGCACACGGUCUCAACAUCCUUUUCAACUUCAGGCUCUAAUCUUUCAAACACCAUCAUCAAUUGUUGUUCAGCCAAGUGCAGACGACCUGAGAAGACGAUCAACAGAGUUAGUGUGUACUAUUUCCAGUGAAGGAUUGUACGUAUGGCAGUGGAAGAGAGACAAUGCUAUCAUAAUGAUGGAGAAUAACGGGGACUACAGAAUCACCAUUGGAGACGGAAGCAGAACUACUAAGAGUUGACGAUUAACAAUCUGGACUUUAGUGAUGCUGAUAAUUAUGAAUGCAUAGCAACAACAACACACGAUGUGGAUUUAAGGAACUCAACAGUGUAUUUAGUGGAGUUUCCAGGUACCUAAUUUACUUGAUAUAUAACUAUUAAAUUGUUGUUUUUUCCAUUCUAGAGCAUGUCAUUACUACACCUGAUGUCAGUGCGUAUCUACAGACUGGAGAGGUUACCCUGACCUGUGAGCUCCAUGUUUACCAGUCAUCACUCUCUCCUCUUGUGUGGCUGGACUUGGGUGGUAGUGAAACAAAUUACUCUACCAAACACACUGUAUCUGUGUAUGAAGGAAACAACACCAUAAUUCUACAAAUGGCACUGUCUUCCCUAGUAUCAUUUUGGACAUCACAAUUCACAACCUUUCAUUAGCUGAUGGAGGUACCUACACGUGUCGUGGUGUCAGAGGAGAUAGUGUCACUCAACUCACAAUAUUAGAAGGGACUGAUCCAAACAUGUUAUCACAAACAUGCAUCUCUACGUCUAUAGAGGGUAUCACCCCCACUCUACCCCCUGGCAACGAAACUACCAUUCGUGUUCCUAUAAUGAACGAAGCCAUUGUCACCACAGCAGCUGCAGUAGGGAGUGUUAUUAUAGUACUCACAUUACUUCUCAUAAUCUUCAUCGUUUAUCUAUUGAGGAAGAUCAACAAGAUGAAAAUACGCUCAACUGAAGCUGUACAAGUACCUAAUUCUCUCUCCAUACAAGAAAGGGAGGACACCUCAAUUUCUGUGCAGGAUGUGACGUAUGAAGAGAUUGCCGAAAGACACGACAUGUUAUUGACAAAGAACGAAGCCUACAUGUGUGUGUCGACUCCUCUAGAAAAUAUAAAUUAGAAAUUAACAUUUCACUGAGCAGACCUGUAACAUUAUCCUGUGUUUGCAUACCAUUUACCUGAUACUUUAAUUUUCUCUAUCUGUAAAAACAUUUUGUGUGUUACCUGUGUACAAUAGUAAUUCCAUUUAAGAAGCGAUCUGAGAAUGCUUUAUAAUAAACCACCUGUUCCUGGGAAACCCACAAUAGUGACAAAGACGUCCAAACAGCGAGUUAGACCCCCUGUGGGGAGAUU